rnacentral:rRNA from 1 species
GGUUGAUCCUGCCAGUAGUCAUAUGCUCGUUUCAAAGAUUAAGCCAUGCAUGUCUAAGUAUAAGCGACUUUUGUACUGUGAAACUGCGUACGGCUCAUUAUAUCAGUUAUUGUUUCUUCGGUAGUGUUCAAAUUUAAUUGGAUACUUGCAGUAAUUCUGGAAAUAAUACAUGCAAUAAGAACUUGACUAUUUUAAUUAAUGGAAAAGUUGCAUUUAUUAGAUUUAAAAACCAAUAUUAAUUAUUUUUGGUGAAUCAUGAUAACUAAGCAAAUUAUAUUUUAAUAUGAUGAAU